GACGAACGCUGGCGGCGUGCUUAACACAUGCAAGUCGAACGGAAAGGCCCUGCUUUUGUUGGGUGCUCGAGUGGCGAACGGGUGAGUAACACGUGAGUAACCUGCCCUGGACUUUGGGAUAACUUCAGGAAACUGGGGCUAAGACCGGAUAGGAUCUCCUGCUGCAGUGUGGGGGUUGGAAAGUGUCGGCGGUUGGGGAUGGACGCGCGGCUUAUGAGCUUGUUGGUGGGGUAGUGGCUUACCAAGGCUUUGACGGGUAGCCGGCCUGAGAGGGUGACCGGCCACAUUGGGACUGAGAUACGGCCCAGACUCCUACGGGAGGCAGCAGUGGGGAAUAUUGCACAGUGGGCGGAAGGCUGAUGCAGCAACGCCGCGUGCGGGAUGACGGCCUUCGGGUUGUAAACCGCUUUCGCCUGUGACGAAGCGUGAGUGACGGUAAUGGGUAAAGAAGCACCGGCUAACUACGUG
rnacentral:rRNA from 1 species